rnacentral:lncRNA from 1 species
CUGCAGUUACAUUUAUACACAUAUAUUAAUAAUUGGGAUUAUUUUAUUUUGCAAUUUUUACAGGAUCUGUUUUUUAUAAUUAUAUGUGAGUUAUAGUUUGACUUAUAUAUUAAUACGAUGCCUAUAUUUUUAUUAAUAUGUUAAUACAAGGUCUUUUUUUUUUAAAUAAUUUAUAUCGGACUGGUUAGAGUAAUUGUGACUUAAAAAAAACCAGUAAUAAAAUAACCGCGAAGUCUCACUUGAUUCU